AAGCCGUUAUGUGGGCAGUCUCUUACCAACCUCUUAAACCUCGCCCAAGUAUCACUGAGCGAUUCAUCAGUUUCUUAUUCAAAAUUUGUUAUUAAUUUCCUUCUCCU